rnacentral:rRNA from 1 species
CACGUAGGGGGCAAGCGUUGUCCGGAUUUAUUGGGCGUAAAGAGCUCGUAGGCGGCUCAGUAAGUCAGGUGUGAAACCUCCAGGCUCAACCUGGAGACGCCACCUGAUACUGCUGUGGCUAGAGUCCGGUAGGGGAGCGUGGAAUUCCUGGUGUAGCGGUGAAAUGCGCAGAUAUCAGGAGGAACAUCAGUGGCGAAGGCGGCCUGCUGGGCUGUUGCUGACGCUGAGGCGCGACAGCGUGGGGAGCAAACAGG